rnacentral:siRNA from 1 species
UGAAUUUUCAGCCCUAUAAUC